rnacentral:rRNA from 1 species
CCUACGUGAGGCAGCAGUGAGGAAUAUUGGUCAAUGGGCGCGAGCCUGAACCAGCCACGUAGCGUGAAGGAUGACUGCCCUCCGGGUUGUAAACUUCUUUUAUAAAGGACUAAAGUGAGGCACGUGUGCAUUUUUGUCUGUACUUUAUGAUUAAGGAUAGGCUAACUCCGUGCCAGCAGCCGCGGUAAUACGGAGGAACCGAGCGUUAUCCGGAUUUAUUGGGUUUAAAGGGAGCGUAGAUGGGUUUUUAAGUCAGUUGUGAAAGUUUGCGGCUCAACCGUAAAAUUGCAAUUGAUACUGGCAGCCUUGAGUACAGUUGAGGUAGGCGGAAUUCGUGGUGUAGCGGUGAAAUGCUUAGAUAUCACGAAGAACUCCGAUUGCGAAGGCAGCUUACUAAACUGCCACUGACAUUGAUGCUCGAAAGUGUGGGUAUCAAACAGGAUUAGAUACCCUUGUAGUC